UGAAUCUGGGAGCAUUAUGUCUGGGAGAAAGAUCUUUUUGAAGCCUAUAAAGUAUUUUGGAUAAUAAGUGUGGAAAAACAGGAUAACAUCUUCACCAGCCAGGCUUGGAGGCUUCUCUAUGGACCUGUCACUCUUCAUAGACACACAGCUGGGUGCUGGAGAUGGUGUCUUCAUCAACCUCGUCAUCAUGAAGUUAACCCCUGUAAACAUGACGAUGAUGAUGAUGGUGCUGUCCUUCAGUCAAUGUCAAUGUUACAUCAACAACUGUCACGCUGAUCCUGGAACAUCCUGAUUCAAAAUAAUUCCAAUAAAAAUCCUGUUAGAGUUC